rnacentral:rRNA from 1 species
AUGGCCACUUUUGCUCUCACAGCCCUGCGAGUGCCAAAGAAAUUCUAUAAAGAUGUAGACAAAUCACGGCGGCGUUUCCUUUGUGCGGGAGAUGAGGAGCUGUCCGGUGGAAAGUGCAAGGUGGGCUGGAGCACAGUGACCACGCCGGAGGAGUAUGGUGGCCUCGGCGUCCACGAUCUUCCUAGAUUCGCCAGGGCGCUACGCCUGCGAUGGCUAUGGCAAUCCUGGCAACACCCAGAAAGACCUUGGGUAGGAACGGGCUCGCCCUGUGAUGCCUCGGACAGGGCCCUGUUUGCUGCCUCCACAGCGGUGAUCAUCGGAGAUGGGGCGACGGCUUCGUUCUGGUUCUGCUCAUGG